rnacentral:rRNA from 1 species
GAUGAACGCUGGCGGCGUGCUUAACACAUGCCAGUCGAACGAUGAAGCCCAGCUUGCUGGGUGGAUUAGUGGCGAACGGGUGAGUAACACGUGAGUAACCUGCCCUUAACUCUGGGAUAAGCCUGGUAAACUGGGUCUAAUACCGGAUAGGAGCGUCCACCGCAUGGUGGGUGUUGGAAAGAUUUAUCGGUUUUGGAUGGACUCGCGGCCUAUCAGCUUGUUGGUGAGGUAAUGGCUCACCAAGGCGACGACGGGUAGCCGGCCUGAGAGGGUGACCGGCCACACUGGGACUGAGACACGGCCCAGACUCCUACGGGAGGCAGCAGUGGGGAAUAUUGCACAAUGGGCGCAAGCCUGAUGCAGCGACGCCGCGUGAGGGAUGACGGCCUUAGGGUUGUAAACCUCUUUCAGUAGGGAAGAAGCGAAAGUGACGGUACCUGAAGAAGAAGCACCGGCUAACUACGUG